rnacentral:misc_RNA from 1 species
GAUGAAGAACGCAGCGAAAUGCGAUACGUAAUGUGAAUUGCAGAAUUCAGUGAAUCAUCGAAUCUUUGAACGCACAUUGCGCCCGCUAGUAUUCUGGCGGGCAUGCCUGUCCGAGCGUCAUUUCAACCCAUCAAGCUUAGCGCUUGUGUUGGAGCCCUGCGGCCGCCACAGCCUCCUAAAAUCAGUGGCGGGCUCGCUAUCACGCUGAGUGCAGUAGUAUUCUUCUCACUCCUGUGGUGUAGCGGGUAACCAGCCGUAAACCCCCCCAUCUAUAAAGGUUGACCUCGGAUCAGGUAGGAAUACCCGCUGAACUUAAGCAUAUCAAUAAGCGGAGGA